CCUACGGGAGGCAGCAGUGGGGAAUUUUGGACAAUGGGCGAAAGCCUGAUCCAGCCAUUCCGCGUGCAGGAUGAAGGCCCUCGGGUUGUAAACUGCUUUUGUACAGAACGAAAAGGUUUCUACUAAUACUAGGAGCUCAUGACGGUACUGUAAGAAUAAGCACCGGCUAACUACGUGCCAGCAGCCGCGGUAAUACGUAGGGUGCAAGCGUUAAUCGGAAUUACUGGGCGUAAAGCGUGCGCAGGCGGUUAUAUAAGUCAGAUGUGAAAUCCCCGGGCUCAACCUGGGAACUGCAUUUGAGACUGUAUAGCUAGAGUGCGGUAGAGGGGGAUGGAAUUCCGCGUGUAGCAGUGAAAUGCGUAGAUAUGCGGAGGAACACCGAUGGCGAAGGCAAUCCCCUGGACCUGUACUGACGCUCAUGCACGAAAGCGUGGGGAGCAAACAGGAUUAGAUACCCUGGUAGUCCACGCCCUAAACGAUGUCAACUGGUUGUUGGGUCUUAACUGACUCAGUAACGAAGCUAACGCGUGAAGUUGACCGCCUGGGGAGUACGGCCGCGAAGGUUGAAACUUAAAUGAAUUGACGG
rnacentral:rRNA from 1 species